rnacentral:rRNA from 1 species
AUUGAACGCUGGCGGCAGGCCUAACACAUGCAAGUCGAACGGAGUGGCGGACGGGUGAGUAAUGUCUGGGAAACUGCCUGCUGGAGGGGGAUAACUACUGGAGACGGGCGCUAAUACCGCAUACUAUCAGAUGAGCCUAGGUCGGAUUAGCUAGUUGGUGGGGUAAAGGCCUACCAAGGCGACGAUCCGUAACUGGUCUGAGAGGAUGAUCAGUCACGCUGGAACUGAGACACGGUCCAUACUCCUACGGGAGGCAGCAUUGGGGAAUAUUGGACAAUGGGCGAAAGCCUGAUCCAGCCAUGCCGCGUGUGUGAAGAAGGUCUUCGGAUUGUAAAGCACUUUAAGUUGGGAGGCGUUACCAACAGAAUAAGCACCGGCUAACUUCGUGCCAGCCGCCGCGGUAAUUC